GACGAACGCUGGCGGCGUGCCUAAUACAUGCAAGUAGAACGCUGAAGCUUGGUGCUUGCACCGAGCGGAUGAGUUGCGAACGGGUGAGUAACGCGUAGGUAACCUGCCUGGUAGCGGGGGAUAACUAUUGGAAACGAUAGCUAAUACCGCAUAAGAGUAGAUGUUGCAUGACAUUUGCUUAAAAGGUGCAAUUGCAUCACUACCAGAUGGACCUGCGUUGUAUUAGCUAGUUGGUGGGGUAACGGCUCACCAAGGCGACGACACAUAGCCGACCUGAGAGGGUGAUCGGCCACACUGGGACUGAGACACGGCCCAGACUCCUACGGGAGGCAGCAGUAGGGAAUCUUCGGCAAUGGACGGAAGUCUGACCGAGCAACGCCGCGUGAGUGAAGAAGGUUUUCGGAUCGUAAAGCUCUGUUGUAAGAGAAGAACGAGUGUGAGAGUGGAAAGUUCACACUGUGACGGUAUCUUACCAGAAAGGGACGGCUAACUACGUGCCAGCAGCCGCGGUAAUACGUAGGUCCCGAGCGUUGUCCGGAUUUAUUGGGCGUAAAGCGAGCGCAGGCGGUUAGAUAAGUCUGAAGUUAAAGGCUGUGGCUUAACCAUAGUACGCUUUGGAAACUGUUUAACUUGAGUGCAAGAGGGGAGAGUGGAAUUCCAUGUGUAGCGGUGAAAUGCGUAGAUAUAUGGAGGAACACCGGUGGCGAAAGCGGCUCUCUGGCUUGUAACUGACGCUGAGGCUCGAAAGCGUGGGGAGCAAACAGG
rnacentral:rRNA from 1 species